AGCACUUUUCAUGUACAUAAUCUCAGUUAAACCCAUGAUUAUACUGGCUCUAGAAAAUGAAUUUAGAAAGUAGAGUUGCAAAUUACAUUUGUUUCUUCCAGUAGCACCCGAUUCAAAUGGCAUGUGACUUGAGUACCUUUGGCUUUUGACCCUCAUUUGCUUUUUUACUUUGUACAGUCACAUAAUGCUCUACUUUUCAUGUACUCUAGACCUCUUGCCUCUGCUGGUAAAUGUUUCAUUGCUGUUGAACAAUUGCUGUUAUAUGGGGGAGGGGUCCAACUGUCACUGGAGUUGCACAGCAUCCCUGCAUUUGGUUCCACAGCAGUCAAUACCACUGUUUGAAAGAAACUUAGAAAUCAAAUGAAACCACAUAAAUACAAUGUAAGUUGAGUGAAUUUUUGUACAUUUAAGAUUACAUAUUGAACUUCCUGUAGUUGAACAUUUCUCAGAAAUAUUCAUCAACACUUCUCCUAACAUAGCCUAGAAAAACUCUUGGUCUUUAUUUGCAAUUGCUAAUCCCCGUUUUUUUCCAAGAUGAAGUCAGUCAAGAUUCUGAGAGUUGGAGUUACUAGUCAGGGCUAGAAAGAUCCCAUAGAGAUAAUGUUCCAUCCUACAAAAAAGAAUGUUAAAAGGACUUUUUCUCUUUAUCCAUGGUCUAGACUGCUGUGUUUGAGAAGAUCUCAUUGGAUUUAGCUUCAGUUCACUUUAAGUGUUAUAUCUCAGGCCCACUGUAAUUUGGAAAGAUUUAUAUCAAGUUCCAUAGACUUUCUUGUAGUCAAUCAUAGUGACGGGUGGUGGGAAUGAUGGGAGGAUCACGAAACCAGGCUCCAUAUUGUCUGUGUAAUUGUCUUCCAGAAGUUAGUGCUUGCCAAAGAUGGAGCAGUGGUCCCUAAGACAGCAUGAUCCCCCCAAGUAGACUAAAGAUACCUGUCUCAAGAGGUCAGAGGAGGCCUCUAAGCCUAGGAGGUAGGUGGUCAAUAUGUAAAUUCUGUUCAAGCCAGAAGCUCUGGUGAAUUACAGAAUGCAAUUGGACUGAAAACUUGUUCUUCUAUUCUUUGAGUAAAAAUUACUUAUUGAGAAUAGAUAAUAGCAAGGUUCUAUUCCAAGUGCCUUAUCUUUAAACAUGGAUGAGGUUUUGUUUUGUUUUUGUUUUUUAUCCCCAACCUGAGUUACAUCCCAUAAUUUACUACAAGUUUUGGAACCUGAAUUUGAAUCCAGGCAACCUGUUCCAGAGAAUGUAUUUAACUGUGAUAGAUUCAUAAGAGGAGAAACACUGUAGAAGGAUCUAGAUAAUGAUGGUGGGAAAAUAAAAUAGUAUCUUCAGACCUGCAAGGAAAAAUGUCAUUCCAAGGAGCUAUGCAAAAAGAGAAAAGAGAUAGUUGACAUGGAAUCAGACUUAAUCUCUGUGACAUAGGGAAGCCAAUUAACCUCUCUGGACCUCUAUUUUCUCAUCUGCAAAAGGAAGAUAAUGAAGAAUGACUUUUUUUUUCAGUUUGAGCUUUUGUGUAUUUUCAGCAUCCAUUUUGGCAAUUCAGACAUUUUAUUGACCCACUAUGUUUUUUUAGCUACUCUUCAGCUUCAUUUGCUGCUGCCUAAAUUGCCAGAUUUCUGACCUGAGUGGAAGUGAGUGCUCAGAAAUCAGUUUUGGGAAAAGAACAGGACAUGGCAUUUGAAAGUUCAAUUGGAUCUUAAAAAUGGAAACGGAAACAUAAUUUUAUUUUAUUCCUUGAAAAAAGAUAAGCUGCUACUUGCUCUAGUGGCAACUGAACAUCCAAGGACUCAGAGAUAAGAGUAGAAAAAUUCAUUUGCUAAGUGGUCACUCUUUCAAAAUUUCAAUAUUUCAAUCACUGAAAUUGUCCCAGUAUUCAUGAGCCAGGCUUGGAUACAGAUCAUAGGCAGUGAACACCACCACCAGCCCAGCUUCCAUAGUGAUUUUAUACGUCAAAGAACCUGGAUCCUUUCCCAUUAUUUAAAAAAAAAAAAUCCUGAUGGUAUAAGUACAGCCCCUCUAUUAAUCAGCAAUGUAAGAACAACACGACUUGACGGUAAUCUUCCUGCAGACUGAGCAUCAGUGAAGUUGCCCUCCAUACAGUAGCCGUAGGUGGCCAUAAGCACUUGAACAAGAGGUGCUUUAAAAUACAAACUGGAUUUUGAAGACUUAGCUUAGCUUACAUUCUGUUUUACACUAUCUCAACUUUUUUUAUUGAUCACUUGGUAAAAUAGUUGUAUUGGGGGUAUAUUUGACAAAACAAAUUAUUAAAAAUAAAAUACAUUAUGAAAAUUCACCUAAGAUUUUGUUUUUUACUUUUUAAAAUGUGGCUACUAAAAAAUGUUAAGUUACAUAUAUGUUCACAUUAUAUUUUUCCUGAUAUGGCUGCCCUAGAGUCUCACUGGGGUCUGUGUCUGCUUCUGGAGGUGGCCUACAUUCUCCCUUGAAUGAAUAUUCCUUGCUUUACCCCAAAAGUUUCUCAUUCUCAAGAUAACUGGUCAUUCUCCCUUGAAUGGGUACUUUUUACUUUACCCCAAAAGAUGUCUUUCCCCUGAGAUAGCCCAUAUUUUCCCUUGGAUAUGUAACUGCUUCUCUGAAUAAAUCUGUGUUUCUGGGGUAGGAGAAUGGGGGAAAGUCUUGCCCAGGCUGCCCAGUCACUCCUCAGCCUGGGAGAAGAUGACAGAUUCUUUGGGAUGAAGAGCCUCAUAUUCAUUCCUAUUCAGUCACCUUUCAUUCAAGUCAGCCCAGUGACCCAGACUGUUACACUGUUUGGGGACACUGUUUGGGGAUCCUGCAGUUUAGUCAUCCAAAAUUUUGUCUGUACCUCUCCACUUGAAAUCUGUACACCGUAUUGACUGAGACAUGAGAUUUUUCACCCAAACAGUGAAUAAAAGUGCUGCCAAAGAAUUGAAGCCAAUCCCAGUGACUUGGGAGGCUGAGGCAGGAGGAUCUCAUUGAGUUCAAAGCCAGCAUCAGCAACAGUGAAGCUAAGCAACUCAGUGAGACCUUUUCUCUAAAUUAAAUACAAAAUAGGGCUGAGUUCAAUCCCAGAUACAAUCUUGAUAUGGCUGCCCUAAAGUCUCACUGGGGGUUGUGUCUGCCCCCAACCAAAAAAAAAAAAAAAAAAAUUGAAGCCAAGUCAUGGAUUUUGCCACUCAGAUUCUCUCCAAAUUGACAAUCAUCAGAACAUUCUGGUGAGGUCAUAUGGACCUCCAUGAAAACAACUAAUUUUGCAUCUAGCUGUAUUUAUUUAUCAUGUCCCCAGGGAUAUGCUGACAGGCCUUGUUGAGAUCCAGUUAUACAAAGGUCUGUCAAGAAAUGGGGCAGGGCUGACCCUACUUAUUUGUAGUGAACCCAUACUGGUACUAAGGAUCAGCAUUUUCACAUCAUUAAAAAUGAUGCCUACAUUGGCUGUCAGUAUCUUAUCUUCUGGAGAAACUGCCCAUCUCCAGUCUUUCAAUCUCUCUUCUCCACAAUGCCUUAAAAUUGUUGACAUGUUUAGUAAUCCUCUCUAUAUUCUGUCAGUAUUCUGGAUUGUGUUAUUUGUUUCUUAUAAUCAAUCACCUCUUCCCUCUUAGUCUUCCAUUUCCUCAGACUGAUGUCAUUCUACCAGUGAUAUUUCAAGUGUCAUUUCUUUUGAUAGAAUACAGAAACUAAAUGGGAAGUUUCAUAUAUCUUAGUGGUUAAAACGUUAUAUGUGCUCAAGAAUCAGGUGCACUACAUUCAAAUUCCAGUUCUACCACUAACUGUGCCUCAAUUACUCCAUCUUGAAAAAUUUAAUAGCUUGUGGAAUGAUUAACUUGCAAGUGGAAUAGCUCUUUCUUGGGAAAGACAGGCUAAAAGGAGCAAUUAGUACCUCUAUGUUGCUGACCCUUGAAGAUUUAUGAUUUUAUUUCCUCACCUGGCAAUAAAUAAUGUUUGUCUCUAGAUGGCACUAAAUUGUUAGUAUGAAAGUUGUAAAAUAGGCCCCAGGAUUCCAAAUUUCUUAAAGUUAUUUUCUGAUUAUUGCCACUAAAAGUCAAGCUAUUAAUUAAAACAAAAAAAUUUCAGCUCAAACUCAAGUAAAUAAUGCACGUUUAGUCUAUCUGCUCUCCUCUCUUAGCUUCCCUUAAUCCUAAUGUAGAGAAGACAGUUUCCAAUGGGCUGAAUUUUGAUUUGGAGCUAGAGUUUGCCAAAAGUAAACACAAUAAAACUAAAUUUAAAACAAAUAACGGCUCCUAGGAACUAUUAACAGUUGUGAAAAGCAGUGUGGGGUUCUAGAAUAGGUAAUAAGAAAAAAGUCACAUAAUUAAAUCUUCUGCCUCUUGGGCAAGCUAGGCCAUUUAACUGGGAGAACAGGAAAUGAAAUAGACACGGUUUUCAGUAAGGUCUUUGAAGAUCCAUCUUGUGAUAUCCCUGGAGACAAAAGAGAGGAUAUGUGUGCAUUCAUACCUAUCUAAUUAUGGUUGAACAUGCUGUUUAUUAAUGAAUGGAUCAAUGUCAACCUGGAAGAGAAACAACCUCGGCUGGCACAGAACAUAGCUAGGCUCAGUCCUGAUCUGCUUAAUUCUUUGAUCGGUGGUAUCUCAGGAAGAGCUGGAAUGCCAGGUGCCUACCACGUGUGUAAGUCACAGAGUGUUUACAACUCUUUCAUGCUUGGUCCUCCAAAGAGCCUUAGGACAGAGGCACGGUGAAGUCCAUCAGACAAGCUUUUGACUCUUGUACAAUGUUUCAGGCUGGCAAAGGAACUUAAUCUGGAGGGACAGAGUUGGGGUGCACCUUUAGCUGCAGCAUUCAUGGGGAAACUUGACAGCAACACUGUCAAGUUGUCACUUGAAUUGAUGCCCCCAACACAGUCACAGGGGAACUUGUACUAAAUUUUGUAGGCAGAGUAACCAUAACUAGAGUCAGAUGAAUAAAAAAAAUCUAACCAUCAGGCUUUUAUAAGAAGCAGGAAGGCUUCAUAUUGUCAGUUUAAAAUGCCUCCAUGUUUUGUGGGUUUAAUGGUUUGAUAAAGGUAUUUUGACAUUGAUGGAAACAGGGACCUUCUUCUAAUUCUGCUCAGCAACAGCUACAGAAGAGAAGCCAAAAUCUUAAAAGAAGAAAGAGCCUGACAAUACUGUAUGGGUGACAUUGCCAUUACUAUUGCCAUGUAACAAAUUACUGUAACACUUAAUGGCUUAAUACAGCAACAUUUUCCCCCUCAAAUCCACAAUAUGGACUGGGCUUCGAGACAGCACCUUUUUUCUACUUGGUGGCAGCUGGGACAGCUCAAGCACUGGGGACUAGAAACCUUUAAAGGCUCUUUUCUCACAUAUCUGGCAGCUGAUUCUGAGGGAACUCAAGCAACUGGAACUGGAACUGGUGUGGCUCCUGGGAUCCUGGUCUCUGUGCAAAAUGGAGGCUUCAUAAUAGCUUCUCACAUAUUGGCUCAGGGCUCCCAAGACACAUGUCCUAAAUGGAAGAGAGAGC
rnacentral:lncRNA from 1 species